rnacentral:rRNA from 1 species
UACGUAGGGGGCUAGCGUUGUCCGGAUUUAUUGGGCGUAAAGAGCGUGUAGGCGGCCAGGUAGGUCUGCUGUGAAAGCCCUCGGCUUAACCGAGGAAGUGCGUCUGAAACUGCUGAGCUUGAGUGUCGGAGAGGAUGGCGGAAUUCCGCAAGUAGAGGUGAAAUUCGUAGAUAUGCGGAGGAACACCGGUGGCGAAGGCGGCCAUCUGGACGACUACUGACGCUGAGACGCGAAAGCGUGGGGAGCAAACAGG